rnacentral:sRNA from 1 species
GAAGAAAAAGAAGAAGAUAAAGAAGAACAGAGCAA